AAUCAACGCUGGCGGCGUGCCUCAGACAUGCAAGUCGAACGCUGCUGUUCGCCUUCGGGUGGACAGCGGAGUGGCGCACGGGUGAGUAACACGUAGGUAAUCUACCUUUGGGUGGGGAAUAACAGCCGGAAACGGCUGCUAAUACCGCAUAAUGCAGCGGCAUCACAUGAUGACAGUUGUUAAAGCGAGGGAUCGUAAGACCUCGCGCCUGAAGAGGAGCCUGCGGCAGAUUAGGUAGUUGGUGAGGUAAUGGCUCACCAAGCCUGCGAUCUGUAACCGGCCUGAGAGGGCGGUCGGUCACACUGACACUGACAUACGGGUCAGACUCCUACGGGAGGCAGCAGUCGGGAA
rnacentral:rRNA from 1 species